GACGAACGCUGGCGGCGUGCUUAACACAUGCAAGUCGAACGGAAAGGCCCUGCUUUUGUGGGGUGCUCGAGUGGCGAACGGGUGAGUAACACGUGAGUAACCUGCCCUUGACUUUGGGAUAACUUCAGGAAACUGGGGCUAAUACCGGAUAGGAGCUCCUGCUGCAUGGUGGGGGUUGGAAAGUUUCGGCGGUUGGGGAUGGACUCGCGGCUUAUCAGCUUGUUGGUGGGGUAGUGGCUUACCAAGGCUUUGACGGGUAGCCGGCCUGAGAGGGUGACCGGCCACAUUGGGACUGAGAUACGGCCCAGACUCCUACGGGAGGCAGCAGUGGGGAAUAUUGCACAAUGGGCGGAAGCCUGAUGCAGCAACGCCGCGUGCGGGAUGACGGCCUUCGGGUUAGAAACCGCUUUCGCCUGUGACGAAGCGUGAGUGACGGUAAUGGGUAAAGAAGCACCGGCUAACUACGU
rnacentral:rRNA from 1 species